rnacentral:misc_RNA from 1 species
GAUGAAGAACGUAGCGAAAUGCGAUAAGUAAUGUGAAUUGCAGAAUUCAGUGAAUCAUCGAAUCUUUGAACGCACCUUGCGCUCCUUGGUAUUCCGAGGAGCAUGCCUGUUUGAGUGUCAUUAAAUUCUCAACCUCACCUAGUUUCUAACUUGUGUGAUGGCUUGGAUUUGGGAGUUUUGCAGGCUGCAGUUUACUGCGGUUCUGCUCUCCUUAAAUGUAUUAGCAGGUCUUUUACCUCUAUCCCAACAGUGUGAUAAUCUAUCUACGCUGCUGGUUUGGAGACCCUUUAUUGGGGGACUAGCUUCUAACCGUCCGCAAGGACAAAAUGACAAAUCUUGACCUCAAAUCAGGUAGGACUACCCGCUGAACUUAAGCAUAUCAAUAAGCGGAGGA